UUACGGCCAUAUCAUAUUGAAACACCGGUUCCCGUACGAUCACCGAAGUUGAGCAAAGUCGAUCCUGGUCAGUGCCUAGCUGGAUGACCACUUCGGAAUAGCAGGUGCUGUAA